rnacentral:tRNA from 1 species
GGCGGGAUAGAGCAAUGGCAGCUCAGCGGGUUCAUGACCCGCAGCGUGAAGGUUCGAAUCCUUCUCCCGCAA